rnacentral:rRNA from 1 species
AGAAUCAACGCUGGCGGCGUGCCUAACACAUGCAAGUCGAACGAGAAAGUGGAGCAAUCCAUGAGUAGAGUGGCGACCGGGUGAGUAACACGUGACUAACCUACCUUCGAGUGGGGGAUAAACCUCGGGAAACCGAGGCUAAUACCGCAUAACAUCGCAAGAUCAAAGCAGCAAUGCGCUGGAAGAGGGGGUCGCGGCUGAUUAGCUAGUUGGCGGGUAACGCCCACAAGGCGAAGAUCGGUA